rnacentral:rRNA from 1 species
ACGUAGGGUCCGAGCGUUGUCCGGAAUUACUGGGCGUAAAGAGCUCGUAGGUGGUUUGUCGCGUUGUUCGUGAAAACUCACAACUCAAUUGUGGGCGUGCGGGCGAUACGGGCAGACUUGAGUACUGCAGGGGAGACUGGGAUUCCUGGUGUAGCGGUGGAAUGCGCAGAUAUCAGGAGGAACACCGGUGGCGAAGGCGGGUCUCUGGGCCGAUACUGACGCUGAGGAGCGAAAGCGUGGGGAGCGAACAGGA